rnacentral:rRNA from 1 species
GGGUUGUGAGGUUAAGCGACUAAGCGUACACGGUGGAUGCCCUGGCAGUCAGAGGCGAUGAAGGACGUGCUAAUCUGCGAUAAGCGUCGGUGAGGUGAUAUGAACCGUUAUAACCGGCGAUUUCCGAAUGGGGAAACCCAGUGUGUUUCGACACACUAUCAUUAACUGAAUCCAUAGGUUAAUGAGGCGAACCGGGGGAACUGAAACAUCUAAGUACCCCGAGGAAAAGAAAUCAACCGAGAUUCCCCCAGUAGCGGCGAGCGAACGGGGAGGAGCCCAGAGCCUGAAUCAGUGUGUGUGUUAGUGGAAGCGUCUGGAAAGGCGCGCGAUACAGGGUGACAGCCCCGUACACAAAAAUGCACAUGCUGUGAGCUCGAUGAGUAGGGCGGGACACGUGGUAUCCUGUCUGAAUAUGGGGGGACCAUCCUCCAAGGCUAAAUACUCCUGACUGACCGAUAGUGAACCAGUACCGUGAGGGAAAGGCGAAAAGAACCCCGGCGAGGGGAGUGAAAAAGAACCUGAAACCGUGUACGUACAAGCAGUGGGAGCCUCUUAAUGGGGUGACUGCGUACCUUUUGUAUAAUGGGUCAGCGACUUAUAUUCUGUAGCAAGGUUAACCGAAUAGGGGAGCCGAAGGGAAACCGAGUCUUAACUGGGCGUUAAGUUGCAGGGUAUAGACCCGAAACCCGGUGAUCUAGCCAUGGGCAGGUUGAAGGUUGGGUAACACUAACUGGAGGACCGAACCGACUAAUGUUGAAAAAUUAGCGGAUGACUUGUGGCUGGGGGUGAAAGGCCAAUCAAACCGGGAGAUAGCUGGUUCUCCCCGAAAGCUAUUUAGGUAGCGCCUCGUGAAUUCAUCUCCGGGGGUAGAGCACUGUUUCGGCAAGGGGGUCAUCCCGACUUACCAACCCGAUGCAAACUGCGAAUACCGGAGAAUGUUAUCACGGGAGACACACGGCGGGUGCUAACGUCCGUCGUGAAGAGGGAAACAACCCAGACCGCCAGCUAAGGUCCCAAAGUCAUGGUUAAGUGGGAAACGAUGUGGGAAGGCCCAGACAGCCAGGAUGUUGGCUUAGAAGCAGCCAUCAUUUAAAGAAAGCGUAAUAGCUCACUGGUCGAGUCGGCCUGCGCGGAAGAUGUAACGGGGCUAAACCAUGCACCGAAGCUGCGGCAGCGACACUAUGUGUUGUUGGGUAGGGGAGCGUUCUGUAAGCCUGUGAAGGUGGCCUGUGAGGGUUGCUGGAGGUAUCAGAAGUGCGAAUGCUGACAUAAGUAACGAUAAAGCGGGUGAAAAGCCCGCUCGCCGGAAGACCAAGGGUUCCUGUCCAACGUUAAUCGGGGCAGGGUGAGUCGACCCCUAAGGCGAGGCCGAAAGGCGUAGUCGAUGGGAAACAGGUUAAUAUUCCUGUACUUGGUGUUACUGCGAAGGGGGGACGGAGAAGGCUAUGUUGGCCGGGCGACGGUUGUCCCGGUUUAAGCGUGUAGGCUGGUUUUCCAGGCAAAUCCGGAAAACCAAGGCUGAGGCGUGAUGACGAGGCACUACGGUGCUGAAGUGACAAAUGCCCUGCUUCCAGGAAAAGCCUCUAAGCAUCAGGUAACAUCAAAUCGUACCCCAAACCGACACAGGUGGUCAGGUAGAGAAUACCAAGGCGCUUGAGAGAACUCGGGUGAAGGAACUAGGCAAAAUGGUGCCGUAACUUCGGGAGAAGGCACGCUGAUAUGUAGGUGAAGCGACUUGCUCGUGGAGCUGAAAUCAGUCGAAGAUACCAGCUGGCUGCAACUGUUUAUUAAAAACACAGCACUGUGCAAACACGAAAGUGGACGUAUACGGUGUGACGCCUGCCCGGUGCCGGAAGGUUAAUUGAUGGGGUUAGCGGUAACGCGAAGCUCUUGAUCGAAGCCCCGGUAAACGGCGGCCGUAACUAUAACGGUCCUAAGGUAGCGAAAUUCCUUGUCGGGUAAGUUCCGACCUGCACGAAUGGCGUAAUGAUGGCCAGGCUGUCUCCACCCGAGACUCAGUGAAAUUGAACUCGCUGUGAAGAUGCAGUGUACCCGCGGCAAGACGGAAAGACCCCGUGAACCUUUACUAUAGCUUGACACUGAACAUUGAGCCUUGAUGUGUAGGAUAGGUGGGAGGCUUUGAAGUGUGGACGCCAGUCUGCAUGGAGCCGACCUUGAAAUACCACCCUUUAAUGUUUGAUGUUCUAACGUUGGCCCCUAAUCGGGGUUGCGGACAGUGUCUGGUGGGUAGUUUGACUGGGGCGGUCUCCUCCUAAAGAGUAACGGAGGAGCACGAAGGUUGGCUAAUCCUGGUCGGACAUCAGGAGGUUAGUGCAAUGGCAUAAGCCAGCUUGACUGCGAGCGUGACGGCGCGAGCAGGUGCGAAAGCAGGUCAUAGUGAUCCGGUGGUUCUGAAUGGAAGGGCCAUCGCUCAACGGAUAAAAGGUACUCCGGGGAUAACAGGCUGAUACCGCCCAAGAGUUCAUAUCGACGGCGGUGUUUGGCACCUCGAUGUCGGCUCAUCACAUCCUGGGGCUGAAGUAGGUCCCAAGGGUAUGGCUGUUCGCCAUUUAAAGUGGUACGCGAGCUGGGUUUAGAACGUCGUGAGACAGUUCGGUCCCUAUCUGCCGUGGGCGCUGGAGAACUGAGGGGGGCUGCUCCUAGUACGAGAGGACCGGAGUGGACGCAUCACUGGUGUUCGGGUUGUCAUGCCAAUGGCACUGCCCGGUAGCUAAAUGCGGAAGAGAUAAGUGCUGAAAGCAUCUAAGCACGAAACUUGCCCCGAGAUGAGUUCUCCCUGAGACUUAGAGUCUCCUGAAGGAACGUUGAAGACGACGACGUUGAUAGGCCGGGUGUGUAAGCGCAGCGAUGCGUUGAGCUAACCGGUACUAAUGAACCGUGAGGCUUAACCUUACAACGCCGAAG